rnacentral:lncRNA from 1 species
CCUCACCGUCACUUUUACUAGAGAUGCCGCCGCCACCGCAAAUACUUCCUCUCGUUCCGUGUAUAAAAAAGUCAUCGCCUUCCUCAACGCCGUGAUUUACUGGGAGACGUCUCUAGACAAGCACGUGUUAAAGGCCUCUCUUCUUCCAGGCAUGAAGAAAGAGGAUGUGAAGAUCGAGAUCGAAGACGAUGGUACGGAACUUAAGAUGAUCGUACUGCUGGAGACUGAGGAGGAAGAAGGAGACACGAUUCCCGAGUGGCUGCUGGAGGAGUUUACAGAUGGCAAGAUCAUAAGGAGGUUCAAGUUGCCAGCGGAUGUGAGGCUGGAUGACUUUAAAACUGAGAUGGAGGAGGAUGGAGUUCUCACUGUUACUUUUACUAAACCCAUCAAGCCCAAGAAAACGCAGCAGCAGCGGCAGCUGAUAUCGAAGUUAUUGGGAUUUCUGGCUAAAGCUGCGGCAGCGCCUUUUGCUAAACUGAAUCAAAAGUCAAAAUUGCUGAGAGUUCUAUCCGCGAAAAAGCUGAUCUCCAAGUUGGGAGUUCUGGCUAAGGCAGCGCCUGUUUGUAUCUUGUGUGGCCACGCGAGUUCGAAUUCUGGGAGUUCGAAUAAUUCGAAUUCUCAAAGGUAAAUAUUUUUGGGCUUUUCUUGCUACCUCUAUCUUUAAAAGUUAAAUAAACGAAAUCAAGCUUUUGCCCACAUAGUGUGUCAAUUUGUCUCAUGGUCUUGUUUUUCCGUUUUCUGUGAAAGAACUUGUCUACUGCUACAGAGAACUUUCUAAUGUUGUAUUCGUGUGAUAAAUUUGUAAUCGUAUUUUUCAAUCUAUUGGCAUGUUACAAACUAUUUGGGUCUUGUUUUCCCUUAAGUUGCUAAUGUUAUAUAGAAACCCCUAAAAUCUAUUAUGCAAUUCAGUUUUGAUAGUUUCUGUUUCAAAGCUAGGUGUGCUAUUAGAUUAGGAUACAGAUCAUAGCAGUUUUGGAAUUCUUUAUUAGGUCUUAAAUAAUUGUAAGAUAAAUAAUUAAAACACUUUAUACUUGUUCUGCCUUAAUGUACUUCAAUGUGAGAUGUAGCAUUGAUUUUGCUCAAUGUGCUUUUUAAAAGUAGACUUCCGCUAGCUCACUCAGGCCCUAUCUGGUAGUGUGGUUGAGCAGAUGUAGUUUUUAAGUUGCAAUACUAAAAGUGUUUAGUAAACAAAAAUUACUCGUAUUUUGAAGCUGGGGUGAUUUCAGGGGCAGUACUAUGAAGAGACAAGCAUGGGCCGUAGUCUCCAUAAGAAAAAUUAUAUGUUUUUUAAAGAAUAAUUAUAUAUUUUUUAAUAUGCUAUAUAUUAAGUUAAAUAAUAAGAUAGUUAAAAAAAUCCUUCAAGUUACUUGUAUUUAACAAAAUAAGAACUUAUAUAAAUAUAUCUUUGAAAUGAGCUAAUCUUAAUAGUGAUCCAUGUUUGUCUCUUGUUUCUCUCUUGUUUCUCUCUUAAUUUCUCAAUUCGGUUUUCUCUUGGUAAUCCCUUAAAAUGUCAAUUCCCAAUUCUCACUUUUCUUAACUUCACUCUUUGAGAAUGUUAGUUUAUUAUUUAGCUUCUUUAUUUAUUUUUCAAUUGAUAGAUUUUAAGGUGAUCGAUUGUGAUGAAUGUUGCUUAUAUUUUAUUUCUUAAUUUUUCAGUGUAACUGAUUGGAAUCUAACCUCUAUAAACUGUAUUUCUUCACCUUAUAAAUAAAAAUUCAAACAAUUAUUUUUCUUAAUAUUUUUCUUACUUGAUUGUUGAAAAAUUUUAUUGUUCAUUAUGUUUAUAUAUGCGUUCACAUUGAAUUUUUUUGUAAUCUUUCCUUGGCCCUUGUAGCCAAAGUUGGCUUGCUUGGCCUCUGGUUGAUUUGAUCAUAUAGUUGUAUGAUGAAAACUCUAUAAUAUCUUUAUUAUUUUUGUCAAAAUCAUUAUUUGCAAGUCAUAGUUUACAACACACUAAUAACUUUGCGACAGUUUUUUUUUUUUUUUUUAAUACAACAGUUGAAACCAUUAAGCCACAGGACCUCAAUAUCAAACAAAACCUUAACAUAUUAAAGAAAAUCUUUCAUUGGAAAUUAAACAGUAGCUGUCAGUGAAAAUAAUCUUUUUCGUUGGUGAUAUUUUUUGGUAGCUAAUAUUGUAAAUCACCUUCAUCCUCAAAUUGGAAUUCAAAAUCAACAGUCAGAAAUUACUGUACUUUGAUAUUCUGUUUUGGAAGGGAUGAGCUUAGACAUUAAUCUUGAUUUGAUUUAUGGUAGUGAAAACUCAUUUUAGACAGGAGUUAAAAUUUACUGACAUUAUUGUUAUUUUUUUCACCGGCUCUGUAAACUCAAUGUAUUAUGUAUUGUUAGUGUUUGACUGUGAUUGUUACAUUAAUGACAAUGACAUGCAUUGGUUUUGUUGGAUACUGAGAAUUUUUUCCUUUGAAACUACUGUAAUAUGCGCGUAAUUGUGCUAUUUCCGAAAUGCAUGCGUCUUUAAAGAGUACUGCUGCAUUCAGUAUAUAAAGUUUAUUGAAAGAAACCAAGCCAAGGAAUAGAGAGGUAUAUAUUAUGACUUGAGGCAAUUCAUUAGUCUUCCUUUGAGAGAAAAAUGGCUAAAGAAACUAGUUUUUUUAUCUAAACUGAGUUUCUUUUCUUGUCUUUUCUUUUCGUUUUUAAGCAAUAACCUUGGUAUCAAACAGCCAUCAAGGUAAAUACAUGGAAAUGAUAUUUAUGUUCUGCUAAUUCAUUCAGUUCAAUCUUCAAACUCGACUAUCAAAUGCAGUGCCUUACACAUGAGUUUGAGAGUAAAGUUCAACCUUAGCUUUGAGCUUGAGGAUGCUCCUUUUUCUACCAUCUAUCUUUUAAUAGCACUCUUAAAUCUCAAACUCCCAUCUUUUCAGAGCAUCCUCAAACUCUAAGCCAACAUUUCAUACAUGGCUCGCAUACCUCCAAAAGCUGGUUUAGAAAUCACUGGACUCCCUCAUCCAUACUUUCAAGAAUUAAUCGUGUCUUUACUUGUGAAAUUAAAGAAUUAAAAUGAUUGAUGAUGUUUACUUGUUGAAAUAGAAGGGAGAAUGAGAAUGAAAUGUGGGGUUCAUAUAUUUUGGGAUUAAGGAACGGAAAUUUGAUAUUGAUGUGGUUGGGAAUCAAGUUCCCAUUCAAUAGAUUGACCCUUUUACCCCAUUAAAUUUUAAAAAUCUACAAAUUUCCCUUAAUUAUAUUUUGUAUUGUGGUCGUUGUUUUCAAUACUUUACAUAAUAUAUAGAAAUAUUGAUAAGUUUUAAAACAUUUACAAAUAGGUCCUAUUAGUAUCAUCAUCAUCAUUAUUAGUAUUUCAAUAUUUUAUUACCAUAAUUAUUAAUAUAAGUAUAUUAUUAUUGUUGUUGUUAUAAUUGUUGUAAUUAUUAUUGUUGUCAUUAUUUUCAUUAUUAUUGUUAUUAUGAUAAUAGAAAAUAAUAAUACUAAAUAAUUAACUAAGGAUAUUUUGGUAACUUGUAAAAUUUAUUUCGAUUUUAGUCCAUUUCAAUUAUAGUUCAUUUUGAUUCUCAAUUGGUAAACGUACCAUCUGUUCCAACCACACAGCGACUCCAAUGCCUUCCCCUGCAUUAUUUGUCAGGCUAUUGUGUUCAAUCUUUCAAAAUUAUUGAUUUGUUCCUAGUUCAACUCAAUCGAUAUUAUUUAAGAUAUAAGAAAGAAAAGAUUUAUGGUUUAUGGAAAAAGAAGUAUAUAUGAAUACACCCUAAAUGUUGUUCAGAUUAAUUAUAUUAAAUUGAUUAAGUGGAUAGUUCUUAAUAGUGAUUCAUAUUAUGUCUAAAUGUUUUUUAAAAUUAUAUUCAACAAUAAAUAUUUAAGGCUUGAUACUAAAGGUGUAUUUGUCUAUAUAAAUUUUUUUUUAAAAAAAAGGAAAAAUGGAUUUCUUUCCAUGCAAUAUACAUUGCACAAAACAUUGAAAUUCUAUUUCUGUUAUGAAAUAAUUAUAAUUUAUGUGGAUGUUCAUCAAAGCAUUCUUUUAUCUCCUCACAAACAACUUUUCAUCUCUUAUAACUCUCAUUAUCUCCUUAAUUUAAGGAUUGUUGUUUCUCAUAAUUAUGAUGUAUUACUUACUACUUUAUGGUUGUAUUUAGGGGUGGGCAUGGGUUGGUUUGGGUUGGGUUUUAUGUCAACCCAAACCAAACCAUAAAAAUUUGAACCUAAUUCAAACCAACUUAAAUAUUUUUAACCCAACCCAAACCAACUCAUUUGGGUUUGGUUUGGGUUUGGUUUGAAUUUAUUAAUAAAAAUAUUUUUUAUUUUGAUAAAUUUAAUUAUAUCAAAAUUACAAUAAUUAUUAAAUUAAUAUUAAAAUAUGAAAAAAUAUAGUCAAAAAAUUAUAAAUAAUAGAUUUCACAAUAACUUCAUCCUUAAAUAUUAACCAUAUUACAAUACAAAUUCUAAUAAUGUCAACACAAAUCAAAACAAGAUAAGACAUCCAAAUCAAGUAUCAAAACAAUCCAUCAUAAUCAUUCCAUAUGCAGCACUUUAAUCAAAAGAUCCUAUGAUCAGCUGAGUCUACUCCUUCACCAACAAAUAAAUAACAAAAAAAAGAAAAUUAUAAUGUUCAAUAGUUAUAAAGAUGAGUAAAUUUAAAAAGGAACAUUAUUCAUACCAAAAUCGUAAGAAUAACAUCAAUCUAAAGUCAUUGCCUCCGUUGUUGCACUUGAUCCAAACUCUACAUUAAAUAAAAAUAAAUUAAUAAAAAAAUACUAAUGAUAAACAAAUAUAUAAUUUUUUUUCGCUUGUUAUGAUAAAUAGUAGUUACCUGAUAUCAUGGCUUCAUAAAACUCAAGCUCCUCCAUCGUUGGUUCAUCUUGUAAUGGGACAAAUACGUAACCAAUUUUGUGAGCAUAUCAAAGCUUCCACCAUCUUUGGACUUAAAGAACUACAAAAUGAAUCAAUGAUGCGUCCUCCAGUACUAAAUGCAGAUUCUGAAGCUACUGUAGAUAUUGGAAUUGCAAACACAUCCUUUGCAAUAUGUGAAAGAACUCGAUAUUUUAUUGAGUUCAUUUUCCACCAUGCCAAAAUCUCAAAGUUGUCAUCAUCAACAUGUUCACACGGCUCCAACAAGUACCUCUCUACUUCAUUUUUCAUCUCAACACAAUCAUCUUUUUCUAUUCUUUGUUUGAACUUUACAACACUUGAAAGUUUAGAAAACCUCACCUUUUUAUCAAAUUUCCUACUAUCAACAAUUGACGACUUACUAGCACCACUAGAUGAUCCACAACCACCAAUCUUAGUGUCAAGAUCUUUAUAGUAUUCAUAAAGACGUAUUAAAAGAUUUUUCACCUCUUCAGACUUCUUCCCAACCUCAUUAAUAACAAAAAUGUCUUCAAAGCAAAAUCUCACAUAUUUUAACUUAUAACGUGGAUCAAGAAUAACCGAAAUAAGCAACAAAUUAUUUAACCUAUCAAUUGAACCCCAAUAUUUUUCAUACUUAUUUUUCAUACUUGUUGCCAUUUUAGAUAAAACAAGAUCAUCACCACUUUCAAUUAAUGAUGUCAAAUCGGAAUGAAUUGAGCACAUUUCAUGAAAAUAUAAGUUUGAAGUCAGGUACAUUGAUCCACUAAAUUUCAAAGUUAUAUCAUAAAAUGACUUAAAAAACAACACAAAAACAUUAGCAUUUUCCCAAUCAUCACUAUUUGGGGGUCCUCCAUCUUCUUUGAAAUAUAAAACAUAAUGUCGGUCAUCAUCCUCCAUUCUCUCAAAAGCCUUUUGAAAUUUUAAAGCACUCUCCAACAUUAAGUGGAAUUCCACCUAGUGGACACAUCUUGAACCACAAGACCAACACCUUCAAUUCUUUCAUGCUCCACACAUAUUUUAAAUUUUUUUAGCCUUGCAGGAGAUGACUUUACAUAUUUGACAGCAUUACGAAUUCUAGAAAUUGACACAUGUAAGUCUUUCAACCCUUCAUUCACAAUUAAAUUCAAAAUAUGCGCACAACAUCUGAUAUGUAAAAAGUCAUCAUCUAGCACAAGCCCAUUCUCACUCCAAUUCUUCAAUUUCUUUUUGACAUAAUUGAUAGCUAACUCAUUUGAACUAGCAUUAUCAACAGUAAUGGUAAAUACCCUUUCUAUACCCCACUCAAGUAAACAAGACUCAAUUACCUUUCCAAUUGUCUCCCCCUUAUGGUUAGGUACUGUGCAAAAAUUUAAAAUUAUUUUCUGUAAUUUCCACUCACUAUCAAGGAAAUGGGCUGUUAUCACCAUAUAGUAAUAAUUUUGUAUAGACGUCCAUGCAUCUGUGGUUAUACAAACCCUUUGCUUAUUUGAAACAAAAAAGUUCCUCAAUUUUUGCUUUUCAUCCCAAAAAAGUUUGUAUACAUCUCUAGCAAGGGUUCUCCUAGACAGUAGAUCAAAGUUUGGUUCCAAUUGUUUACUAUAUUGUUGAAAGCCCUCUUUCUCCACAAAACUAAAGGGUAAUUCAUCAAUAAUAAUUAACCUUGUAAGGGCUUUUCUACAUGCUUCUUUAUCAAAGACAUUAGACUUAGAUUCGUCUUUCAUUUCAUGUGAAGUUGUUUGAUUUUCAUCCUCAAAUGUGUUCAAAUAAUCAGGACAACACAAUAAAUGAUUCCUUAAUGUACUAGUCCCAAUUUUAGUCCCAUGUUUAUUCUUACAAGCAUAGUCAUUACCACAAUAAUUACACUUGCAUCUAUUACCUGGAUCGUAUUUAGUGAAAUGUUCCCAUAUUUUCGAUCUCUCUGAUGGCUUUUUCCUCUUGCUCUGAGUAGUUGCCAAAGUGUCCGAAGAAUAAGUACCAUGACAACUUGAGUUCUCAUCCAUCUAAAAUUAAUUGAAAAAAAAAUCAUGUAACUUUAAGCCAAUUCAACAAAAAAAUUUACCAAAUAUAAGGAAUAACAACAGUGGCAGUAAUUAUAACUGGAAAAAAAAUCAUGAGUUAUGGUAGUGUUAUUUAUUCAUAAACAUAAAAGAGGCAUUCCAUACAAAAUUACAAAUCCCGAAUAUGUGAAAAAGCUGGAAAGCCAAGCAUCACUAGGAGACUGCAACCAGCUACCUCUUCUUGUCUUUUUAUAUUCAUUCAAUUAUAAUGACGGGUUCUACUUUUUAUAUGCAGUUAAUUUAUGCACCAGCAGCUGUAAGUGAAUAUUAUGGCGGAUCUUAAAUUUCUGCACUCUGUCUUUAGUACAAUGGUUGUAAGGAUACAAUCACAAGCUAAGUUAACAAAAAUAAUGGCAUAAAAAACAGCACUGAAAGCCCAAAUGGUAAUAUUUUCUAGAAUUUGUUUUUCACAAUUCUUUAAAUUGUACAUGUGGUAGAAAUGAUCUAUGAAAGAAUUAGUUCAUAAGAGCUCAAUCAAAUUCAUAUAUCAGCAAAUUAUUUUCAGCAUAUUCAAGUGUGAGUGGUUUUAUCAAUUCCCCAUUCUCUAAUUCCAGCAUACCCAUUACCAAAUAACUGGAAAAAAAAAUGAAGCUUUUGUAAAAAAACCUCACCUUAUAUCAAUAGAAAGGCUGUAAUCGAAGUGGGGUCUUCAAGAGUUGAUGAAAAUCGACUGAGAGAUUCGUGACAGCACUUUUGUUGACAGAGAUUGUGGAAGAUAGAGUGAGGUCAGUGAGAGUCAACAGUUCUAAUGAACUGGGGAGUGAUGAAUGCAAGAUUAUGAAAGUGAAAAUAAUGGAAUUAAUUUUAUUUAAUUUUAUUUAUUUUCCACUCACAGCUCACCUUGAAUUUAUCUAGCCCAUGGGUAUACCCAAACCAUUAUGAAAUGGUUUUCCCUAUAAAAACCCAAACCAACCCAUUUUAAUGAUUUAUCCAACCCAAACUAUUUUAUUUGGUUUGAGUUUGGGUAAACCCAUGGGUUGUGGGUUUAUGCCCACCCCUAGUUGUAUCACUAUAAAAGGAGAUUUUUACUCCUUAUUUGUAUACACUUGGAAGUGUGAAUAACACACAAGAGAUUGAAUAAAAUUUCUCUCUACACACAUUAUGUUUCUUAUUUACUACCUUUCUUUCUCUUGCUAUAUGGUUGUGCUCUUAAUUAAUAGAUUUUAUAACACGUUAUCAACACAAGUCUCUAGCUACAAGAGAUCAAUUUUCAUCCUCUUUAAAAUAUGGUAAUAUCUAUUCUUUAAUCUUACUCAUAAAAGUAUGAAGUAACAAUCUUGAUUUUGCCUAAGAUGAUAUUUACAUUCGUAUAUGUAUUUUGAUAAUCUAGAAUAAUGCAUCAAUGAAUUCAUACUUUUAUAUCAUCAUUACUUAUAUUGCUAUUGUUUGACAUUUCUUAUUAUAAUAUUCAAUUGCUAUUAUAUAUUUUCCAUUCUUGAAAUUCAAAAAGUUCAUCCUGAAGUUUGAAUACUAUAAUAUACAAUGAAAGAAAAUUAUGAAUGCAUCCUUGGGGGAUUACAUUACAUAUAAUGAAGAUUUUCUUUCCAAAUAGGUUCUUGAAGAACUAUUACAAAAUUAUGAUGACAUUCAUCACCAUCUUGUUUAUGAAGGAUUGACUAUAUAAGUGUAUAUUUUACAUGUCCCUGAAGGACUAUGUUGUGCAAAUUUUAUUGAACUCGCAAGUGCACGAAUCUAUUGUAGAAUAGAUUAAUGGAGACGAGUGUCGAUCCCAUGAGGAGGUGGAUUUUAAUUAUAUAUAGAAUUAAUUUUGUAUGAGGGUGGUUGGAUUUGUGGUGAAAGUGACUUAUAUUAUCUUAAAAUUGGAAUUGAAAUGACGAGAAUAAAUUGAAGUGAAAAUCUAUUAAAUUGACAUCCUUUGGUAUCUGGAUCCGUAUCAACAUGCACCAUGGGCUAAAUAUUCCUUAUUAAUGUCAAUUAAAUCAUGAGGGGGGAAUCCACACCUCAUGAACCACACUCUAAUCAAUAUGGUGCUAAGGGCUUAUCGUGCCAAAUAAUAAUAACCUUGUACUAGAGAGCCGGUGUAACCAAGGCGGUAUCUAGACAAGAUUAUUAUUAUUUGUCGACGAGAAGUCAAAACAUCCACAAAAACUAGAGGGGAAGAGAAAAUAAAUUUACCAAAUAAAGCCCAUGACACAUAUUGAGACUUCACCUUCAACCCAAGCUUGAAAGAAAAUUAGCUACUCAUAAUUGAACUAGGGGCAAAAUGAAAAUUUAUUAAAAUACAUAGAAAAUACAAGAUGGAGAAGGAAUUACAGAAAAUGGAUCCCAAAAAUGGAUUCAGAGAUAUCAAAUUAGGGGGGGAAGGCCCCAUUUUUAUAGAUACAUUGAGUAAAUCAUGGCCAUCGAAUUAAAAAUAGUUUGGACGCUCAGGAUUGUGCCAUGUCAUCAGUCAACAGUACGCGGUUUGACCACGUGGGUGAACAGUAACACGGUUUGACCCGGCUUUGAGCAGUAACGCGGUUUGGUUGAAAAUAAUCAUGUGUAAUACAUGUACCGUACGCGCAAGUUUUGGUCCACUAAUAUACUGCCACGUCACCAUUAACAGUUCAUAAGAAUUUUAGACCAACAGGAUCAUGACACCUCAUCAGUCAAUGCCACAUCAUCGGUCAAUGCCACGUCAUCAAUCCGUUUAUGUGAACAGUGUUGUGAACAGUAACGUAGACAGUACCGUACAUGUGAAUAGUACCGUACAUGUGAACAGUGCCAUUUUUCCUUUUAUGCUCCUCCUAAGGUUUUCGACCGUCCUGAGUUCAAAAGUAAUGUCCGUUUUGCCGUUUGAUCUCUCGUUUAUUGUGAAAUGACUAUGAUGCCCCUAAAAUACACAAAAUACUUAAUUAAAAUAAAACACACAUAAUUAAAUUACAAGAACCUUAAAUACAUAAAAGUAAGGGUUGUUAGUAAGACUUGAAAUGUAAAAUGAUGAUUUUCUCCUUUAUAAAUAUACAUUUUCUAACACUCAACACACCUCCCAACCAGCUUAUUGCUAGUCCCUAACAAAUAAAGCGAAAACAAAAUUCAAACACAAUUUUUUGUUUGUUUUUUUUUUUAAACAAUCUUGUUUAUUUAAUCAGACUAAUGAUAGCAAUCAAAUAAAAAUAUAAGCAUUAUCUCCAGUCUAAAGCAACAUCACACCCACAUCAAUCAUCCACAUGAAUCAGCCUAGUAGAUUGUCAUAGCUACUUUCAAAAAUGACAUGUCAAACCCCAAAAUCUCACUGGAAGUAGUAAUACUCUCACAAAAAAAUUAAACCCAAUAAAAAUAGUCACUCCAAUGAAUGGUACUUGAGAGAGAAAAUAAUAAAGAAGUGAUAUCACAUGCUCUCACCAAGAUGAAAGAAAUAUGCCCUCAGCUUCGAAAUAAUACGAUCUCAAGUCAAAUAAAAAUGUUAGUCAACCCAAUUUAGUUUUAUUAAUUUUUUUUAUACACCACUACAUCGUUUUAGCCCAUAUAACUAGCUUCUACUUCAGACUAUAGUUCCCUAAAAUCAAAAAGAACUUUUAUUAGAACGUAACGUAGGCUAGGGAUAUGGCUAACAAAGAAGGGAAAUAAGGAAAACAAAGUGUACGUUUGAGAAAAAUGCAGAGAAAUUUUUUUUUUCUUUAGGGAAGUUGCAAGGUGGAUUUCACCUAUUAUUGUUAUUUUUAUCUUUGAAACAACAAAUUUUUUUCUUUCUUUUUUUUAAACAACAAUAUCUCUUUUUUUUUUUUAGGGCAUAACUUCACUGUACAAAAUAUUUAUUUACAUUUUUCUCAAACAUAAUAGGUGAUGGAACUUGUAAGAUAUUGGGUAAUACUCCAAAUUGGAGUGGGUCAAGAUGAUAAGUUUGACAAAGAAAAGUUUUUUUUUUUUUUUAAGGCUCAAAAGGGUUAAUUAUGGAUAUUUGAUAAAAGAGAUGGCUAGAAAGGCUCAAACGGAUCAAAGAUGGCCUUUCCAUCGUCUUUUAGGGCUCUAAAUAAUCUUCCAUAUCUACUAGUUAGAUGGGCCUCCAAAUGUAGCAACACACUUUUUUUCUUUUUUUUAUUUUACAAUUUUUUUUAAGGGUUAACUCAAAAGAAAUCUAGAGAUCGUAUAUAAAAUAAUAAACUGCUAAGUUGUAUAAAGAAUGGACAAAAGGGUUACUCUCUAAGAAAAAUGAUAGGCUCAAAAACUCACUUGGUACUUAUUAUGACAUGUUCAUUCCUUCAAGCAACUCAUAUUUGUCUCUGACAUCAACAUGUAAAGUAGCAAACAUGGCGUAACAUCACUUAAGACUAAAGAUAAUACAAAUACUAAAAUUUGAAAUUAAUCAUGUCAUCCAAUGUUAAAAUAAAUUACACAAAUUUUUUUUUUAAACAACAUUAUACCCCCCAACCUAUCCUAAACAUGAAAGGAAAAUAUGCAUGCAGAAAUGUGAAAAUGAUGCAUAAAAACUAAUUAGAAAAAUUACACUUAAAAUGAUAGAAAAAGAAAAUGGUUUUUUUUUUUUUACUAAGAAGAUGCGUUUCUAGAGGCAUUACACUCCAUAUUCAGCCAUCUUCGACUCAACAAAAAAAUUGAAAAUGUAUAUUUAUAAAGGAGAAAUUAAAAAGAAGAAGAAAAAUGAAUAUCAAAACAUAAUAAAGAAAAAGAAAAUGUCUGAAUUUUUUUUUUUUCAAAUGAUGAAGAUGCGUUUCUAGAGUCACUACACUCCAUAUUCAGCCAUCUUCAACACAAAAAGUUAGCAACAGUUAGUUUUUACAACAAAAAAUCAGUAAAAACUUAACCAAGAUUCCACAAUUGUCGACUAUUCCCUCCCCCAAACCAGAACGAAAUAUUGUCCUCAAUGUUGUAAAAGAAUGAGUAGAGUUUAUAAGACAUCACAUGGGUGGUGCAACACAGAAGAAAAUAUUUACAGGCAGCUACUGUUACCGUCAUUAUUUGGACGCUCCAACACAAAGGUUCAGGGGUCUGGCUCCGGUUUAUAAGCUUGUAACAUAUCAAGUAGAUCAUUAGCAGUGUGAGCACAAAUAAAAAGUUUUUUUGCACUGGAAGGAAUGAAGUAGUUUUUUAUUGCAUGGUUAAGAAAUGCGAUGAAGCCAUCAUAAAAGUUAUUCACAUUUAACAAACCGAUGGGUUUCUAGUGAAUGUACAGAUGGGCCCAAGAUGCUAGUGUGAUAAGUGUCUCUAGUGUUGCAAGAUCUCCUGGAAGGAAAAUAAAAGCAUCAACAUGAUUAAGCAUUUCAGUUAUUCUUUCUUGCAUACCUGAGACAACUAACUCUUCUCCAGUCGAUGAGUCAGACAAACUACCCAAAGGUUUUAGAGCUCUUGGGAUGAUGCCUAACACAUGGUUUCCUCUGACAAAAGCAGCUUCUGAGACCAAUUUUGAUAACCCUCGGUUACCUCCUCCAUACACCAAGUGUAAUUUUCUCUCUGCUAUGCUUCGACCAAGAUCUAUGGCUGCAUCAACGAACUCUUUAUGUUUGCCAUAGGUAAAUCCAGAAAGCACACAAAUGUUCUUGAAUUGUCUAUUGAGAGUAGCUGCCAUUGGAAUAUUUCUCAAAAAUAAUUUGUGAAUGCUUAACAAAAAGUCAUAUUUAAGAAUUUUGGUGACAGUGGGUCACAACUGUGUAUGAGGUGGCAUGUCAGUGUCAAAUAACGCGCAAAGCACAUGGCUCGCGAGUCAAAAAAGAAACAGUAAAAAGAAAAAGUAAUAAUGAUAAAAUAAAAUUAUUAAAGACAAUAAUGCAAAAGAUAAAAUAACAGUGAAAUAAAAUAAUAGUGAAGUAAAAGGAUAUUUACAGGUAGCUGAGACUGUGGCUCAUAUCUUCCUCUGGUUUUGCGUCCAGAAACGACUUGAACGCCCUCUAUGGGUCGAGGAUGGGCUUCCCAUCCAGUUUUCUUAUAAACUGGCAAACAAGGUCGUUUAUAGUCAGAUUCCCGAAACUAUAUCGUGCAUGCUCUUUCUGGAAUAAUGGCCAUAACUGGAAAAUCGCUCCUUGCACAUAUCCACUGGGAUGCGUUUCAAGAGAUAGAAGGAUAUCAUCCAAUGACUCCUUAUUCAAGCCAUCCCUAAUGUAUUGAAUCUUAUCUUCCCUGCCAAUCAUACUUUAGCCUUGAUUAACCAACAGAUGUCAGCAGGUAUGUUAUUCCUCAUGAACAAUUGCAUGCGUUCGGACCGGGCUUUAUAGAUCGUAAGGAGGGCAUUCUGAGGAAGUGAAGGGAAUCGCUUGUGAAGGUUCGCUAGAAUCUCAUUUCUGUCCAUAUCUUCACCUCAGAAUAUCAGUUAUUAUGGGAAACUAAAGUAACCGACUUGAUUGUCACGGAGUACCGUUAUCCGCCACUUCACCGAGGUAACAAACUAAAGCACACAAACAGAAAAACAAAUUAAAACACACAAAGAAAAUUAAAAUCAUCCUCUUAUUGAAUUUACCUCAAGCUCCAACUAGAUGUCGUAAACACUUCUCUCAAUGUCUCUGAAUUGGCUUUCUAAACCCUCAACAUAGGAUACUAACUCUGGUGGUUGCAGAGCCCAAAUACGACGUGUCUUACAAAAUCGAAGCUGUCUUUUGAGAUGAGAUUUUACACGUUGAAGUGGUUUAAGAAUGUUCAGGAGGAACGGUUUAAGUAUGGUACUCAUUAUUAACAAUGAUAAGAAAAAAAAACUUAAUGGUUAAACAAACACACUUAUGCAAAAAUAAUUUCAAUUAGCAAAAGAAUAAUAAAAAGAAAAAAAAAAUCAAAUCACCGAAAAGAAAAGAAAAAAAUCAAUUCAAAUCUUAUGGGUCACUCAAAUUUAUUUCGAUGUCCUCUCCAUGUGGUUGGUACUCUAGAUAUGGCUUUAAUCUUUGACCAUUAACUUUAAACGUGACACCGUUCUUUGGGUCCUUAAUUUCAAUUGUCCCAUAUGGAAAAACAGUAUGAACAAUAAAUGGGUUAGACCAUCGAGAGCGUAACUUACCUGGGAAUAGGUGAAAGCGAGAAUUGAAUAAAAGCACUUUCUGACCUGGAGUGAACGAUUUUCUCAUAAUUUGCUUGUCAUGGAAGACUUUCAUUCGUUGCUUGUAAAUCUUGGCAUUUUCGUAUGUAUCAUUGCGAAUUUCUUCAAGUUCUCCCAGCUUUAAUCUUCUUUCUGAGCUGGCUUGCUGCAUAUCAAAGUUGAAUUUCUUGAUAGCCUAAUAUGCACGAUGCUCGAGUUCCACAGGUAGGUGGCAAGCUUUUCCAUACACUAGCAUGUAGGGUGACAUCCCAAUCGGGGUCUUGAAAGCUAUUCUAUAUGCCCAUAAUGCAUCAUCAAGUCUUAAUGACCAAUCUUUUCUGUCCGGCCUCACCGUCUUUUCUAAUAUGUGCUUUAUUUCUCGAUUGGAGAUCUCAACUUGGCCACUGGUUUGCGGAUGAUAUGGGGUUACCACUUUGUGAGUGAUUGAAUACUUCGUCAAAAGAGCCUUGAAUGCUUUAUUACAAAAGUGGGCACCACCAUCACUGAUUAUUGCUCGAGGGAAUCCAAAGCGUGAAACAAUGUUGCUUUUCAAAAAUUCUAUCACCACCUUGUGAUCAUUGGUUCUACAUGGAAUUGCUUCUACCCAUUUCGAUACGUAGUCAACAGCAACCAAUAUGUAUUGAUGGCCAAAAGAAGGGGGAAAUGGUCCCAUGAAGUCGAUACCUCAUACGUCAAAAAUCUCAACCACUAAAAUUGGAUUUAGUGGCAUCAUGUUCCUUCGUGUAAUGCUCCCUAUUCGUUGACACCUAUCACAUGAAGAACAGAAAGUGUAAGCGUCUCGAAAUAUAGUUGGCCAAUAGAAACCGCAUUGUAAAACUUUAGUAGUUAUUUUCUUAGCACUGAAAUGGCCUCCACAAGCUUGUUCAUGGCAGAAUGAAAGGAUAUUCUGAAUUUCAUUUUCUAGGACACAUCGUCUAACAAUUUGAUCUGCACAAUACUUAAACAGAUAAGGGUCAUCCCAAAAGAAAUUCUUUAUUUCUGCAAAGAAUUUAGCCUUGUCUUGCUUGGUCCAACGCUCUGGAAGUUGACCUGUAACAAGAUAAUUCAUGAUAUCAGCAUACCAUGGUAAUACUUUCACACUCAUCAAUUGUUCAUCUGGAAAUUACUCAUUCAAUGUUAAUGGCUCUGUAAUUGUGUUAAAAUGGAGACGAGAGAGAUGGUCUGCCACAACAUUUUCUGUACCUUUCUUAUCUCUGAAUUCCAAGUCAAAUUUCUGCAAAAGUAACACCCAACGAAUUAGUCUAGCUUUUGCAUCUUUAUUUGUGAGAAGAUAUUUAAGAGCAGCAUGAUCUGUGAACACAAUUAUUUUACAACCAAUGAGAUAAAAUUAAAAUUUUUCCAAUGCAAACACUACUGCUAGCAUUUCUUUUUCAGUAGUUGAAUAGUUCAACUGUGCAUCAUUCAAUGUCAUACUAGCAUAAUAAAUAACAUGGGGAAUUCGAUCAACUCUUUGUCCUAAUACUGCUCCUACUGCAUAAUCAGAUGCAUCACACAUGAGUUCAAAUGGUAAGCUCCAGUUUGGGGCCUGAAUGAUGGGUGAUGAUGUCAACAACUGCUUUAAUUUUUCAAACGCCUCAAGACAUGAAUCAUUAAAGAUAAAAGGUACAUCCUUAGCAAGUAAAUUGCAUAAGGGUCUAGAAACUUUGCUAAAAUUUUUAAUGAAACGUCUAUAGAAACCAGCAUGCCCAAGGAAAGAUCUUACUUCUCUGACUGUUUUAGGUGGAGGAAGAUUAGAAAUGAGAUCCACCUUGGCUUUGUCAACCUCAAUACCUUUGCUCAAAAUGAUGUGACCGAGAACAAUACCUUGUUUUACCAUAAAAUGGCACUUCUCCCAAUUUAAGACCAAGUUCUUUUCGAUACAUCUCUACAGAACUAGUGUUAGAUGAUGUAAACAUUGAUCAAACGAGUCACCAAAGACAAAAAAAUCAUCCAUAAAGACUUCAAGGAAUCGUUCAACCAUAUCAGAAAAAAUACUUAACAUGCAUCGUUGAAAUGUAGCAGGUACAUUACAUAAUCCAAAUGGCAUCCUCCUAUAUGCAAAAGUGCCAAAAGGGCAAGUGAAAGUGGUUUUCUCUUGAUCUUUCGGUGUUAUAGGAAUCUGAUUAUAUCCUGAGUAGCCAUCUAGAAAGCAAUAAAAUUCAUGGCCUGCUAAUCUAUCAAGCAUUUGAUCGAUAAAUGGUAAAGGAAAAUGGUCUUUAAGUGUGACAGAAUUCAACUUUCUAUAAUCAAUGCAUACACGCCAUCCUGUAGUUACUCUAGUUGGUAUCAAUUCAUUAUCGGCAUUGGUAACUACUGUGACUCCUAACUUUUUAGGGACAACUUAUACAGGACUGAUCCAUGAACUAUCAGAAAUUGGGUAAAUGAUACUUGCGUAUAAUAGCUUAAGGACUUCAGCUCUAACAACUUCUUUCAUGUUAGGAUUUAACCGACGUUGCAUUUCCCUAGUAGAUUUAGCAUUUUCAUCGAGGUGAAUGUAAUGCAUGCAGUCUACUGGGUUUAUACCUUUGAUGUCUGCUAUGGUCUAUCCUAAUGCUUCUUUGUGCUCUUUUAAAACAUCCAACAACUUAUCUUUUUAUUCGUCAUUUAGGGAUGAUGAGAUGAUUACCGGUAGAGUACUUUCUUCUCCUAAAAAUGCAUAUUCCAAAGUGUUGGGUAAUGGUUUGAGCUCGAGUUUUGGUGGUGAUUCUGAUGAUGGGAUGAGUUUCUUUUCUGAUGGUGCUAGUUGUUCAACUCUUGACUUCCAUUUAUUAGUGUCCAUGGAUGGUGCUCAGUCAAGUAGGGCGUUGACCUCAUCGACCGAUCUGUCAAUAUCAAAAUUCAAACCAAAGUGAGUUAAACAUGUUUGUAAAGGAUCAUCACUAAGGUUUGAAAGAAAAGUAUUAUCAACUAUUGUUUCUAUUAAAUCCACAUCAACAAUUCCAUCAUCUGCAUUGUGAGGUUGUUUGGCAAUGCUGAAGAUGUUCAGCUCCAUAGUCAUGUUGCCGAAGGACAACUGCAUAUUUCUAGUCCUGCAUUGAAUGUGAGCAUCUGCAAUUGCCAAGAAAGGUCAGCCUAGAAUAAUAGGGAUGUGCUUCCUUGAAUCCUGUAUUGGUUGAGUGUCAAUUACAAUGAAAUCAACAGGAAAAUAAAACUUGUCUACCUGAAUAAGCACGUCCUCCACAAUACCACGAGGUAUUUUCAUGGACCGAUCUGCAAGCUGUAACACCACUGGAGUUGGAUGUAAUUCUCUAAGUCUAAGUUUCAAAAAUACUGAGUAAGGCAAUAGAUUUACACUAGCUCCUAAAUCCAACAAAGCAUUCUCAAUUGUGUGAUUCCCUAUGCUACAUGAGAUAGUGGGGGAACCUGGAUCUUUGCAUUUUAGAGGAAUUUUAUGUUGGAGGAUAUAACUAACAUUUUCUGUUAAAAAUGUCUUCUUUUGAACAUGAAUGUUUCUCCUUUUAGUACAAAGAUCUUUAAGAAACUUGCCAUAAGAUGGAACUUGCUUUAUAACAUCAAGUAAAGGGAUGUUAACACUUACUUGUUUGAAGAUUUCAAGAAUCUUACAUGUGGAUUUUUCCUUCUUUCCUUUAUCUAACCUCUAAGGAAAUGGAGCUUUGGGAACAUAUUCUCGCGGGUUGGUUUCUUCUUUCUCCUCCAAUGGUGAGUCCUCAACAUUCACAGGUACAAUUUGAUUUUCUUUUGUCACCGGCAUCUCCACUUUGUUGUCGACUUCUUUUUCUUUUCACAAGGUCAUGAUUGCUUUGACCUCUCCAUGCU